CGGGAACCGGAGGAGACAGCGCCGCAGCCCUGGCGAGGUCCCAGAUCUGCACAUUGUUUGCUAGUUUUCAACCCAAGGCACGACUGGAAAUAAACCUGAGACCGCCGCUGUAAAGGGCAGAGCGCGUGAGGGGCCGGGCCGGGAUCCGUUCCUUCUCCGGCAAAACACUGAUCCGAGACCCUUCCUUCAGACCCCAGAGGACGGUCAGUAAAAAAAGCUGAGGACCUGGCGGGAGAACUCUGAAGAAUCAAUGGUGGAACCACGAGGGGAGGAAAGGAUUAAAGGGACUGCAGGCAGAGGAGGGGCUUCUUACCCUGGAAAUGUCCUUUACUGUGGAUCCUCAUGGCUCCGGAGUUCAUGGCAGCCGCCCUGCACCUACAUGCUGGGUCCGGAGAAAGUGUGGCGCCGGGCGACCGCAAAAGCACGGCUUCCCCAGCCAGGCCAGUUGACAGAACGGCCGCCUCUCUUCUUCCGCCACCUCCGGCCUCCACGCAGUAGAGGUACCACGUCUACUGGUCGGGUUUCCAGGGCCGGAUCUGGCUCCAAAGCGCAGAGGAGGAAGGCGCAAAGCACAAACGGGUGGGCUGCGGCGGUUGAAGAUUUGAAAACGCGUCACGCGGCCGCGGCGCCUAUACGCCCGCCCCGCCCCGUCUCACGCCGCGCGUCGUGCUCCGCCUCGCGCUCGCCCCGUGUGCCCGCCUUCUCGCAUCGCGCGCCCCGCCCCCUCACGGCACUGUCUUCUCUUGUCUCGCUCCGCCCCCGCAGGAUGUGUCUCCGCCUUUGCCCCGCCCCCAUCCGGUGCCCUCUGACUCAGACGCCGGCUCUCAGUCCGCCGGUUCGGGUUGCGGCGCAUCUACGGAGAGUAGGCAGGGCUCUGUGUUGGCCAAACCUAGUGGCAAUUAGCGCCGGAGGCCGGCCCCACCCGUCACCACGGUUAUUCCCGCCUUCUAGGUUUGCCGGCCCUCCAGCUGCCUUCUUCCCCAGGUUUUUGGCUACUGAUGUUACAGACAAUAAAAUAUUGGAGUAUAGAGUUGAAGAAAAGACUCAAACCAGAUGGAGUCUCAUUCUGUCACCUAGGCUGGAGUACAGUAAUGCCAUCUUGGCUCAUUGCAACCUCUGCCUCCUGGGUUCAAGCAGUUCUCGUGCCUCAGCCUCCCAAGUAACUGGGACAACAGGUUUUUUGUUAAUUAGUUAAAAAUAUGGAUCCUGAAACAAGGAGACCAGAGAUUAUCAGAGUGACACCUCUUCAACAAAUGCUUGCCUCUGGUACUGGAGCUAUAUUGACAUCACUAAUAGUGACACCCCUGGAUGUUGUUAAAAUUAGACUCCAAGCCCAAAACAACCCACUCCCCAAAGGAAAAUGUUUUGUAUAUAGUAAUGGACUCAUGGAUCAUCUAUGUGUCUGUGAAGAGGGAGGCAACAAACUAUGGUAUAAGAAGCCAGGAAAUUUCCAGGGAACAUUGGUUUUGGGGUACAUGUGAAGAACAUGCAAGAUUGUUGCAUAAGUACACACAUGGCAGUGUGAUUUGCUGCCUUCCUCCCCAUCACCUAUUUCUGGCAUUUCUCCCCAUGCUAUCUCUCCCCAAGUCCCCACCCCGCACUGUCCCUCCCUUAUUUCCCCCCGACAGACCCCAGUGUGUGAUGCUCCCUUCCCUGUGUCCAUGUGUUCUCAUUGUUCAACACCCACCUAUGAGUGAGAACAUGCGGUGUUUGAUUUUCUGUUCUUGUGUCAGUUUGCUGAGAAUGAUGGUUUCCAGGUUCAUCCAUGUCCCUAUGAAGGACACGAACUCAUCGUUUUUGAUGGCUGCAUAAUAUUCCAUGGUGUAUAUGUGCCACAUUUUCCCUGUCCAGUCUAUCAUCGAUGGGCAUUUGGGUUGGUUCCAGGCCUUUGCCUUUGUUGUAAACAGUGCUGCAAUGAACAUUCGUGUGCAUGUAUCCUUAUAGUAGAACGAUUUAUAAUCCUUUGGAUAUAUAUCCAGUAAUGGGAUUGCUGGGUCAAAUGGAAUUUCUAUUUCUAGGUCCUUGAGGAAUCGAUGUUGAAUAUAUUUUCAUAUGCUUAUUUGCCUCUUCAGUGAAAAGGCUCUCCAUAUCUUUAGCCCAUUUUCUAAUUAAAUUGUUGGUAGUUUUACUGUUGAAUUUUGAAAGCUUUUUUUAAUAUAUUCUGGUAGUUCUUUGUUGAAUGUGUUGUUGCAAAUAUUCUUUUUCCACUCUCUAGUUUGUCUUUUCAUCUUCUUAAACAUGGUCUUUCGCAGGGUAAAACUUUAUAAUUUUGAUAAAGUUAAAUUUAUUAAUUUCUUUUAUAGGUCAUGCUUUUGGUGUCAAGGCUAAGAACUUUUUACUGUUAGACUCUGAAGAUGUUCAUAAAAAUGUUAUGUUACAUUUAAGUUCUUGAUCCAUUUUGAGUUAUUUUUAUGUAAGGCAUGAGUCUGUGGUUGAGGUUGGUUUGUUGUUGCUGCCUGUGGAUGUCCACUUUAAUUUGUGGAAAUGGCUAUAUUUCCUUCAUUGAGUUGUUUCUGCAUAUUUUGUCAAAAAUCAGUGAGGCAUGUUGGUUUUGUUAUUUCUGAGUUUUCUGUUCUGUUCCAUUUAUCUCUGUGUCACUCUGUCAAUACCACAGUCUUAAUUAUUGUACCUAUAAGUCUUGACAUCAGAUACACUGAUUUCUUUUACUUUAUUCUUAUAUUUCUUUUUCUUUUUUUGAUAUAAGGCCUCGCUCUGUCACCCAGGCUGGAGUGCAGUGGAGCAGUCAUGGCUCCUACAUCCUCAAUCUGCCCACCUCAAGAGAUUCUCCCACCUCAGUCUCCCACAUAGCUAGGACUAUAGGCAUGUGCCACCAUGAUUUAUUUUUUUUUGCAGAGAUAGGGCCUCACUGGUCUUGCACUUCUGGGCUCAAAUAGUCUUCCUGCCUGGGCCUCCCAAAGUGCUGAGAUACUGGCGUGAGAGAGAGCAUCUGGCCCUUAUAUAUAUAUAUUUUAAAGUUGUUUUAGCUAGUCCCAAAGUUUCUUUGUCUUUCCAUGUAAAUUUUAGCAUAAUCCUGUUCAUAGUUACAAAAAAUAUUGCUAGGGUAUUUGUUGGAAUGACAUUAUACUUGUAUAUUAAUUUGGAGAGGAAUAACAUCUUUACUGUGUUUGAGUCUUUCAAUCCAUUCUCAACCUGCUUAUGACAUUAUAAUUGAAGGGAAUUUCUUUUAGACAGCAUAAAAUAGAGUCAUGUUUUAAAUUCACUCUGUCAGUUUUUAUCUUUUAAUUAAUAUACUUAGUUUAACUAUUGUAAUACAAUUAUAGAUUAGGACUUAAGCCUAUCAUUUUGCUUUUUAGUUUCUCUUUGUUUUUUGUUUCUGUUUUGCUUUUCUUGCCUUAAUUUGUGUUACUUGAACAUCUUUUAGCAUUCCAUUUUGAUCAAUAAUGUUUCUAUUUAUUAUCUGUUUCUUUGUUGAGGCAUUCUACCUUUUUAUUUCUCUCAUACGUGUUUGUAAAUGAUUAUUCAAUGAUUUUAAUGCUAACGGUUUCAAAACCUUUGUCAGAUAAUUCUAACAUCUCUCUUAUCUCAGUGUCGACAUCUAUUGUCUGUCUUCAUUCAGUUUGACAUUUUCUGGUUCUUAGAAAAAUGAGUGAUUUUCUAUUGAAAUGUGGACAUUUGGGGUAUUCUUUUAUUAAACUCUUAAUCUCAUUUAAACUUUCUAUUUUAGCUGUCUUUUUCUGACAUUGCUUCCAUAGGGGAAAAAGGAUGUCACCUUGUUAUUGCUGAGUAGAGCUAGAAGUCAAGGUUCCCCACCCAGCCUCUAUUGACUCACAGUGUGAGGGAAGACCUCUUUUACUGUUGGGCAUGCGUGGAAGUUUUGGCUUGCUAUAUGGAUUCCGCUGACUGUGUAGUGGGGUAGCCUCAUUGCUGGGUGAUGAUGAAAGUACUGACUUUCCACUAUUCCUCCUGUGACACCACCCUAGCAGUGUGAUGGAAGAGCCUUACUGCUGACCUGGUAGGGGUAAAAGUUGUGGUUCUCUAUUGACCUGUCAGCCUUACAUUGGUGGAAGUCUAGGCUACGUACUUGGCCUUUGCUGAUACAGGUCUGAGUGGUGCCACAAGUUUUACUUUGGUGUUUGGCUAGAGUUGAGUGGUUAUUUUCUAAAAGUUUUCUGCUUUACUAAGAUUCCCUUUCCUGGGAAAACAUGCAGUCAUUUGUGACUAACGUCUUUCACUUAACUCAGUGUUUUAAGAUUCAUCCAUGUUAUAAAUACGUAUCAGCAUUUUAUUUCUUUUACUGCCAAGUAAUAUUAUGUGAAUAUGUCGUAUUUUAUUUAUCCAUUUAUCAUUUGACAGACAUUUGGAUUGUUUCUACUUUAUGGAAAAAUUAAUUUUACUAUGAACAUUCAUGUUUCUAUGUGAACAUGUUUUAAUUCCUCUUAGAUAUAACUUUAUGUGAAUAUAUGUUUUAAUUUUCCCCAGAAUAUAAGUGGAGUUGAAAUUACUGAGUCAUGUGAUAACUAUAUUUAACCUUUUGAGAAACUGGUAGACUAUUUUCCAAAGUAGCUACACCAUUUUGUAUUCUCACCAGUAGUAUCUGAGGGUUUCAAUUUCUUCACAUUUCACCAGGAUUUAUUAUUAUCUGUCUUUAUAAUUUUAGCUUAUUUAGUAGAUAUGAACAGACAUCCCAUUUGUGGUUUUGCUUUGCAUUUUCACAAUAAUUAAUGAUGAACAUUUUUUCUUUAUUACUUUUUCUUUUUUUGAGACACGAUCUCACUCUGUUGCCCAAGCUGGAGUGCAGUGGUAUGGUCUCAGCUCACUGCAGCCUCUACCUGCUGUGCUGAUGCAAUUCUCCCACCUCAACCUCCUGAGUAGCUGGGACCACAGGUGGACAUCACCAUGCCCAGCUAAUUUUUAAAUUUUUUGUAGAGAUAAGGUCUCACUAUAUUGCCCAGGCUGAUCUUGAACGUCUGGGCUCAAGCGGUCUCCUGCAUUGACCUUCCAAAGUGCUGGUUCACAGGCGUGAGCCACCUCAUGCAGCAGAACACUUUUUCGUGUGCUAACUGUUGGCCAUUUAUAUGUAUUCUUUGGAGAAAUGUCUGUUCAAAUCCUUAGCCAAUUUUAAAUUAUUUAAUUUUUUUAAAUCAAAUCGUAAGAAUUUGUUAAUAGGAAACUUCUCUUCAGCUCUGUAUACUUUUGGUUCCUCUCAAAAGAUUUCAUAUAGCACACUUGAAUAUUUUCUUUGAUUUCAUAUUUAGCAGAGUUUAUCUAACCAGUUUACUGCUUUUGGUCUACUUCCUUUCUUCUAAUAAUCUUUUCACAAGUUUUGUUUCUAAGCUGUUAGUAGAACAAUCUAGAGCUGAGUAAUAUAGACUUCAUUCUGUAAGAAGUUAGUAUCAUCCAGAAAUCUUCAUUUUAAUUGUGUUAAAAUUCCCUUUUUAAAAAGAAUGGACAUAAAUGAAUCCAAAAAGUUUUUUUUUUUUGUUAGAUACUAAUACCUGAAAGAAUCAAAUUACCAGUCAUCGCUAUACAUUUUUGUAUGUCAGGUUUAAAGAUAUAGUUUGAUCACUUUUUUUUCUAUUAUAAUUUUAGGACGCCUUUUUAAAAAUCAUUCGAAAUG